rnacentral:rRNA from 1 species
GGGGAAUAUUGGACAAUGGGCGCAAGCCUGAUCCAGCAAUGCCGCGUGAGUGAUGAAGGCCUUCGGGUCGUAAAGCUCUUUUACCAGGGAUGAUAAUGACAGUACCUGGAGAAUAAGCUCCGGCUAACUCCGUGCCAGCAGCCGCGGUAAUACGGAGGGAGCUAGCGUUGUUCGGAAUUACUGGGCGUAAAGCGCGCGUAGGCGGCUUGCCAAGUCAGGGGUGAAAUCCCGGGGCUCAACCCCGGAACUGCCCUUGAAACUAGCAGGCUAGAAUCUUGGAGAGGUCAGUGGAAUUCCGAGUGUAGAGGUGAAAUUCGUAGAUAUUCGGAAGAACACCAGUGGCGAAGGCGACUGACUGGACAAGUAUUGACGCUGAGGUGCGAAAGCGUGGGGAGCAAACAGG